rnacentral:tRNA from 1 species
GGUUCUGUAGUGUAGUGGUUAGCAUGUCUGCUUUACACGCAGAAGAUCCUUGGUUCGCGCUCCAGUGGAGUCA